rnacentral:rRNA from 1 species
UACAGAGGUCUCAAGCGUUGUUCGGAUUCAUUGGGCGUAAAGGGUGCGUAGGCGGCGCGGUAAGUCGGGUGUGAAAUCUCGGAGCUUAACUCCGAAACUGCAUUCGAUACUGCCGUGCUUGAGGACUGGAGAGGAGACUGGAAUUUACGGUGUAGCGGUGAAAUGCGUAGAUAUCAGGAAGAACACCCGUGGCGAAGGCGGCUCUCUGGGACGGUACUGACGCUGAGACGCGAAAGCGUGGGGAGCGAACAGG